rnacentral:rRNA from 1 species
CCAAGGAGUCUAACACGUGCGCGAGUCACAGGGUAACUCGCAAGACUAACUAAACCCUAAGGCGAAAUGAAAGUGAAGGUCAGCCUUGUGUUGACUGAGGCAGGAUCCGUCCGGGUGAGCGAAGCUCUUCUUCCUUUCGCGGGUUCCGUCCCGCGGGGGAGCUCGGCGGCGCACUGCCGGCCCAUCUCGGCCGCUUCUUGUCGGCGAGGUGGAGCCAGAGCGCACACGUUGGGACCCGAAAGAUGGUGAACUAUGCUCGGGCAGGACGAAGCCAGAGGAAACUCUGGUGGAGGUCCGUAGCGAUUCUGACGUGCAAAUCGAUCGUCGGACCCGAGUAUAGGGGCGAAAGACUAAUCGAACCGUCUA